rnacentral:rRNA from 1 species
UACGUAGGGAGCAAGCGUUGUCCGGAAUCAUUGGGCGUAAAGCGCGCGUAGGUGGCCUCAUAAGUCCGCUGUGAAAGUCAAAGGCUCAACCUUUGAAAGCCGGUGGAUACUGUGGGGCUAGAGUACGGAGGAGGCGACUGGAAUUCCUGGUGUAGCGGUGGAAUGCGCAGAUAUCAGGAGGAACACCGAUGGCGAAGGCAGGUCUCUGGGCACUUACUGACGCUGAGGAGCGAAAGCGUGGGGAGCGAACAGG